rnacentral:rRNA from 1 species
AUGGAGAAGCCCGGCAGCUUCGGCGGGAGCUCGUCGGAGGACGCGGGGACGUCCCUGCUGCUGCCGGUGCAUCGCGACGAUGCCACAACCACGGCGUCGUCGCGCUUGAGGGCUCUGCUCGCGCACAAGUACCCUGCGAUCGCGUCGGGGCCCGUGGCGUGCGCGGCCAUAUGCGCGCUCGUGGACCUCGGCGGCGCACACGGCGCGGCGCCGCGGAACAUGCUGGGCGUGCUGGCGUGGGUGUUCCUGUGGUGGGCGACGGACGCCGUGCCCCUCGCCGUGGCGUCCAUGGCGCCGCUCUUCCUGUUCCCGGCCUUCGGCAUCUCCUCCGCCGACGCCGUCGCCAAGGCGUACAUGGACGACGUCAUCGCCCUCGUCCUCGGAAGCUUCAUCCUCGCCCUCGCCAUCGAGCGCUACCACAUCCACCGCCGCCUCGCUCUCAAAAUCACGCUGCGGUUCUGCGGGGACCCGGUGCGGCCGUCGCUGCUGCUGCUGGGGAUCACCGGCACGACGGCGUUCGUCAGCAUGUGGAUCCACAACACGGCGUGCACGGUGAUGAUGAUGCCGGUGGCGACGGGGAUCCUGCAGCGGUUCCCGCGGGGCGGCGCCGGCCAGGAGGAGGAGGAGCAGGAGGUGCGGCGGUUCUCCAAGGCGGUGGUGCUGGGCGUGGUGUACGCGUCGGCGGUGGGCGGGAUGGCCACGCUGACGGGCACCGGAGUGAACAUCAUCCUGGUGGGGAUGUGGUCGGCUUACUUCCCGGAGAAGGAGCCCAUCACCUUCAGCUCGUGGAUGAGCUUCGGCCUCCCAAUGGCGCUGGUCAUGUUCUUGGCGCUCUGGGUCACCCUCUGCUUCAUGUACUGCUCCAACAACACCGGAAAGGCGCUCUCUGCCUACCUCGACGGAACCCAUCUCAGAAGGGAGCUCAGCUUGUUAGGUCCAAUGGCUUUCGCGGAGAAGAUGGUCUUGGCCGUGUUUGGGGGUCUAAUUGUGCUGUGGAUGACUAGGAACCUAACAGAUGACAUUCCUGGGUGGGGAGUCCUCUUCCACAAUCAAGUUGGGGAUGGAACAGUCACGGUAAGUGCGCAAGAUAAUCAUAAAGUUGCUGAGCCACAGUAUUAUGGAGGAGCAAACAAAUCGCUUGCGACGCAGAUCAUGAUGGCUACGUUGCUGUUCAUAAUCCCGAGCGGGAAGAAGGAGGGCGAGAAGCUCAUGGACUGGAACAAGUGCAGGAAGCUCCAGUGGAACAUCGUGCUCCUCCUCGGCGCCGGCUUCGCGAUCGCCGACGGCUUCAGGACCAGCGGCCUGACCGGCAUCCUCUCGGACGGCCUCAGGUUCCUCGAGGGCGCGCCGACGCUGGUGAUCGUGCCCGUGGCCUGCGUUUUCAGCGGGGUCAUCACCGAGUUCAUGUCCGACGACUCGACCCCCACGCUGGUGCUGCCCCUGUUUGCUGAACUGGCCAAGUCCAUCGAGGUGCACCCCGCUCUGCUUAUGAUCUCCGGCGCGAUCGGGGCCCAGCUGUCCUACUUGUUUCCCACCGGGUCGCCGUCGAAUGUCGUCGGCUUCAGCACUGGCCACAUCACCAUCAAGGAUCUGGUGGCCACUGGGUUGCCCCUCAAGGUCGUCGGAGUUACAGCUCUGACGGUCUUGCUACCAACACUAGGGUCAGUGAUUUUUGGCAUGGACAACAAGUCCUAG